rnacentral:rRNA from 1 species
UUUCCGUGUAAGCGAAGCUGUGAUGACGAGGGAAAUAAAGUACCGAAGUCUUUGAUUCCACACUGCCAAGAAAAGCCUCUAGCGAGAUGCAAGGUGCCCGUACCGCAAACCGACACAGGUAGGCGAGGAGAGAAUCCUAAGGUGAGCGAGUGAACUCUCGUUAAGGAACUCGGCAAAAUGACCCCGUAACUUCGGGAGAAGGGGUGCUCUAUUAGGGUGCAAGCCCGAGAGAGCCGCAGUGAAUAGGCCCAGGCGACUGUUUAGCAAAAACACAGGUCUCUGCGAAACCGUAAGGUGAAGUAUAGGGGCUGACACCUGCCCGGUGCUGGAAGGUUAAGAGGAGUGCUUAGCGCAAGCGAAGGUGCGAAUUGAAGCCCCAGUAAACGGCGGCCGUAACUAUAACGGUCCUAAGGUAGCGAAAUUCCUUGUCGGGUAAGUUCCGACCCGCACGAAAGGUGUAACGAUCUGGGCACUGUCUCAACGAGAGACUCGGUGAAAUUAUAGUACCUGUGAAGAUGCAGGUUACCCGCGACAGGACGGAAAGACCCCGUGGAGCUUUACUGCAGCCUGAUAUUGAAUUUUGGCACAGCUUGUACAGGAUAGGUAGGAGCCUUAGAGACCGGAGCGCCAGCUUCGGUGGAGGCGCUGGUGGGAUACUACCCCCGCUGUGUUGAACUUCUAACCCGCACCCGUAAUCCGGGUGGGAGACAGUGUCAGGCAGGCAGUUUGACUGGGGCGGUCGCCUCCUAAAGUGUAACGGAGGCGCCCAAAGGUUCCCUCAGAAUGGUUGGAAAUCAUUCGUAGAGUGUAAAGGCAUAAGGGAGCUUGACUGCGAGACCUACAAGUCGAGCAGGGUCGAAAGACGGGCUUAGUGAUCCGGUGGUUCCGCAUGGAAGGGCCAUCGCUCAACGGAUAAAAGCUACCCCGGGGAUAACAGGCUUAUCUCCCCCAAGAGUCCACAUCGACGGGGAGGUUUGGCACCUCGAUGUCGGCUCAUCGCAUCCUGGGGCUGUAGUCGGUCCCAAGGGUUGGGCUGUUCGCCCAUUAAAGCGGUACGCGAGCUGGGUUCAGAACGUCGUGAGACAGUUCGGUCCCUAUCCGUCGUGGGCGCAGGAAAUUUGAGAGGAGCUGUCCUUAGUACGAGAGGACCGGGAUGGACGCACCGCUGGUGUACCAGUUGUCAAGCCAUUGGCAUCGCUGGGUAGCUAUGUGCGGACGGGAUAAGUGCUGAAAGCAUCUAAGCAUGAAGCCCCCCUCAAGAUGAGAUUUCCCACACGCAAGUGGUAAGAUCCCUGAAAGAUGAUCAGGUAGAUAGGUUCGAGGUGGAAGCAUGGCGACAUGUGUAGCUGACGAAUACUAAUCGAUCGAGGACUUAACCAAAUU